rnacentral:misc_RNA from 1 species
AGGGGUUUAGCUGAUGCAAGGUUACUCUUUGAGAAAAUGCCUGAGAAGAAGGACUGUGUUGUGUGAAAUAUUAUGAUACCUGCAUUUUCUCAAAAUGGUUAUCCUGAGAAUCCAUAGAUUUGCUUAGGUAUUUAGCGAAAUCUGGGGUUAGAGCUGAUCUGUUACUUCAUUGCCUGCUCUUUCCUCCAUUAGGCAGUUGAAAU